rnacentral:rRNA from 1 species
GCACGGGUGAGUAACGCGUAUGCAACCUACCUACAACAGGGGAAUAACCCGUUGAAAGACGGACUAAUACCCCAUAACACAGGGAUCCCGCAUGGGAAUAUUUGUUAAAGAUUUAUCGGUUGUAGAUGGGCAUGCGUUCCAUUAGCUAGUUGGUGAGGUAACGGCUCACCAAGGCAACGAUGGAUAGGGGAACUGAGAGGUUUAUCCCCCACACUGGUACUGAGACACGGACCAGACUCCUACGGGAGGCAGCAGUGAGGAAUAUUGGUCAAUGGGCGCAAGCCUGAACCAGCCACGUCGCGUGAAGGAAGACGGCCCUACGGGUUGUAAACUUCUUUUGUAAGGAAAUAAAGUGUAGUACGUGUACUAUUUUGCAUGUACCUUACGAAUAAGGAUCGGCUAACUCCGUGCCAGCAGCCGCGGUAAUACGGAGGAUCCGAGCGUUAUCCGGAUUUAUUGGGUUUAAAG